rnacentral:rRNA from 1 species
GACGAACGCUGGCGGCGUGCUUAACACAUGCAAGUCGAACGAUGACGCCCGAGCUUGCUCGGUCUGAUUAGUGGCGAACGGGUGAGUAACACGUGAGCAACCUGCCCUUCACUCUGGGAUAACCUCGGGAAAUCGGGGCUAAUACCGGAUAUGAGCUCCUGUCGCAUGGCGGGUGUUGGAAAGUUUUUCGGUGAAGGAUGGGCUCGCGGCCUAUCAGUUUGUUGGUGAGGUAGUGGCUCACCAAGGCGAUGACGGGUAGCCGGCCUGAGAGGGCGACCGGCCACACUGGGACUGAGACACGGCCCAGACCCCUACGGGAGGCAGCAGUGGGGAAUAUUGCACAAUGGGCGAAAGCCUGAUGCAGCGACGCCGCGUGAGGGAUGACGGCCUUCGGGUUGUAAACCUCUUUCAGCAGGGAAGAAGCGAAAGUGACGGUACCUGCAGAAGAAGCGCCGGCUAACUACGUG